CAACGUCAUAUACCAAAUACCAUGUAGCGACUGUAACCAAGUCUACAUCGGUAUGACGACGAACAAACUGAGAAAACGCUUAAGUGGGCACCAAUCGAACAUCAAUCAACUCAACCGAUUACGGGACCAGGGUUACACCAACACCGACCAAGCAAUGAUCCAACAGAGCUCAAAAACAGCCCUAACCGAGCACUGCGUAAAAGAGGAUCAUCGCUUCGCUCUGCAACAGACGAAAAUAAUCGAUAGGACACACAACAGAUCCACUCUGCCCCUGCUAGAAUGUUUCCACAUCUACAAUACCCCCCGCACAGUGAACCACCGCACCGACGUAGAAGGCCUCAGCUCCAUAUACUGCGGGCUUCUACGAACAAUAGCAGCAAAACAAGUCAAGAGAACCCAACAAACCCGCCGCCACCACAGCACCCCGGCACAUCCAACCCCGACAACCAACAACCAACAGAUGAUCAACAGCAAUAAAUCACCAUAACACUACCCCACAGACAUAGGUACCAGUCCAACUUCACACACAUCGUCACAUGUAACUGAGAGAGACAUUUCAACAAUCUCCCAAAAAUUCUCCAUUAGCAUUUCCACUAAAACUAGUAUUCAGUGUCUAGACGCCAUGAUAGUGUUCGGCGCAGUGGUAAAACAAAUUAUUGUAAACUACACCCUCACCAUCUACCCACAAAUAGCCAACACAAGCUUAAAUUCACCAAACCCGACAGCCCUACGCCAAGCAACCGGCGAUACAAACGUAGCGGUAUCCCUAUAACCUCCCUGAAGAAGACCCAAACCAAGGGUCGAAACGUCGGAUGAAAUAGUAUCACCCCGCUUAUAAUUUAUCCGGACCGAAAAGCCAACCAUAGAGGGAUAACUCUACCAAUCCGUCGGUCGUUU